UCAAAAUACUCCCUUCUAUCUGCUGGAAAGGAAACUCUGCUAAGGGGAGAAAUAGUAUUUGCUUCACUGGGGAAGGAAACAAACACAUCUUCCACAUCAACUCUCAAUGCUAGAAGAAAUCUUCAGACUUAGAGGGGAUACAAAUCAUCAAACUCUGACCCGACAACCCCAACGGGGACAGGUCGCAAAUGUUCUCAAUGGAACUACCCUGGAUGAGGAGUUCGGAAAUGAAUCCUUUAUCAACAAAUGACAUGCUGGGGAUGAAAAGGGAAACAAACCUUUCAC
rnacentral:lncRNA from 1 species